CACCUCUAGCAUUACUAGUAUUAGAGGCACUGCCUGCCCAGUGACACACGUUUAACGGCCGCGGUACCCUGACCGUGCAAAGGUAGCAUAAUCACUUGUUCUUUAAAUGGGGACUCGCAUGAAAGGCACCACGAGGGUUUAACUGUCUCUUACUUUUAACCAGUGAAAUUGACCUGCCCGCGAAGAGGCGGGCAUAAAACAAUAAGACGAGAAGACCCUAUGGAGCUUUAAUCUAUUAAUGCAAUCAAAAACUACACAAACCCACGGACCUUUAAACUACCGACACCUGCAUUAAAAAUUUUGGUUGGGGCGACCUCGGAGCACAACAAAACCUCCGAAUAACACAUGCUAAGACCACACAAGUCAAAGCGAACUAACACUUACAAUUGAUCCAAUAACUUGAUCAACGGAACAAGUUACCCUAGGGAUAACAGCGCAAUUCUAUUCUAGAGUCCAUAUCGACAAUAGAGCUUACGACCUCGAUGUUGGAUCAGGACAUCCUAAUGGUGCAGCAGCUAUCAAGGGUUCGUUUGUUCAACGAUUAAAGUCCU
rnacentral:rRNA from 1 species